UACAGAGGGGGGCAAGCGUUGUUCGGAAUUACUGGGCGUAAAGGGCGCGUAGGCGGCCGCCUAAGUCAGACGUGAAAUCCCUCGGCUCAACCGGGGAACUGCGUCCGAGACUGAAAGGCUCGAAUCCGGGAGAGGGAUGUGGAAUUCCAGGUGUAGCGGUGAAAUGCGUAGAUAUCUGGAGGAACAUCGGUGGCGAAGGCGGCAUCCUGGACCGGUAUUGACGCUGAGGCGCGAAAGCCAGGGGAGCAAAGCGGG
rnacentral:rRNA from 1 species